rnacentral:lncRNA from 1 species
AGGCAUUGAGGCAGCCAGCGCAGGGGCUUCUGCUGAGGGGGCAGGCGGAGCUUGAGGAAACCGCAGAUAAAGGCAUUUCAUCCUUCAUGAAGCCAUUCAGGAUUUUGAAUUGCAUAUGAGUGCUUGGCUCUUCCUUCUGUUCUAACUUCACAGAGAAUGCAGUUGUCUUGACUUCAGGUCUGUCUGUUCUGUUGGCAAGUAAAUGCAGUACUGUUCUGAUCCCGCUGCUAUUAGAAUGCAUUGUGAAACGACUGGAGUAUGAUUAAAAGUUGUGUUCCCCAA